rnacentral:pre_miRNA from 1 species
UAGCCAAUCAGAAAUGAACUUAUAAAAGUAUAGUAUAAUCCUACAAACCUGUGAUUUUAUGUAUAAACUAGUCUCUCAUUGAAACAUGCAGCA